rnacentral:pre_miRNA from 1 species
AAGUGUCGAUGAUGACGAUGAUUACGAUGAUUACGAUGAUUAGCGUUGAGCGUUAACGAUCAACGCUCCGUCAUCGUAAUCAUCGUCAUCAUCGAAACUUCAAAA